rnacentral:rRNA from 1 species
AACGAACGCUGGCGGCAUGCCUAACACAUGCAAGUCGAACGAGAACUUCGGGUCUAGUGGCGCACGGGGGCGUAACGCGUGGGAACCUGCACUUAGGUUCGGAAUAACUCCCCGUAGGGGGUGCUAAUACCGGAUAAUGUCUUCGGACCAAAGAUUUCUUGCCUUUGGGUGGGCGCGUGUUGGAUUAGCUAGUUGGUAGGGUAAAAGCCUACCAAGGCGACGUUCCAGGGCUGGUCGGUGAGGAUGCUCCGCCACACUUGGGCUGAGACACGGACUACAAUGCGACGGGGGGGAGGAGUGGGUAACAUUGGGGGAGGAGCCAAGACGUAGUACAGCAGUGCCGCGGGUGUGAUGAAUGCCUUAGGGUUGUAAAUCUCUUUUUCCCGAGAUGAUAAUGACAGUACUGGGAGAAUAAGCUCCGGCUAACUCCGUG